CGCCACGGGACGAGAGAGAUGAUUUCCACAUGUGGGCGCUGAAUCUUCCUCCUUUCUGCACCGUCACUGGUGACCUCAUCAUCGUCACUGGUGACCUCAUCAUCGUCACAGGUGACCUCAUCAUCGUCACAGGUGACCUCAUCAUCGUCACUGGUGACCUCAUCAUCGUCACAGGUGACCUCAUCAUCGUCACAGGUGACCUCAUCAUCGUCACAGCUAAAAUAAUCAACACACCACAGUUUGAUGAGCAGUCACCUCACAUGUUGGUAAUUAUCCUCGCCUGUCAGAGGAGGUUUGAUUGCUACAGGCAACAAGUUCCACCGACAAACAAACACAGAAAGAAAAAGAACAUGUAAACAUAACAGAGAGGUCGCCACGCUCAGCUCAACAGCGUCCUUUAAACCGAGGCGGUCGAACUCUCCGACAGUGACACAAGCCCAGUAAAGACACAAAACACUGCAGGAGGUUUAGUCCACCUUAAACUCACGAGAGGAAAACAAAAAAAACCCUCAGAGGAGCUGAAAACGUUCAAAAUGUUCGACCCGAGUGGACUCGCACAGGGCCGGGCUCGCUGUCACUCAGUUAGAUCGAUUCUGAAUAACAAACAUACAAACGUGAAACAAACCUAGAAACAAAACAAAAAAAAAUCUAUUUCUUGCUUUGAAAUGUACAGUUCAAAUCACAGGUGUGAUCGGGACGACACGGGAGAAACUAAAGGUGGAAUAUCAGGAUCAGAAGAGAAAACAACACCAGGAGGAAAUGAAUCGAACUGAUCUCUGAGCUCCGAGCCGUCGCUCCCUCCUCCGGCUCGCCCGUCACUGAUUUUUUUGUCCUUUUCAUUUGACAAGAUGAGAUUAAAGUUUUGUGCAAAGCCUGAUGCCCGACACAGACACGUACACAGGUAGCAGGGUGUCCUGAACCAUCCUAAAACACACACACGCAAACACACUCCGGGUAUAAAACAGAUGCACAACAGAACUUUAAAUAUUCUUAUAUAUAUACACAGAUAACCAUGCACAAGUUAACGCUCUCCCUCUCUCACACUCACUUACACAAAGUAAA